GCUGCGGUAUUUUGACCGUGCAAAGGUAGCAUAAUCAUUUGCUUUUUAAUUGGAAGCUGGUAUGAAAGGUCGGAUAAAGAAUAAACUGUCUCUUUAUUAAAAUUAGAAUUUUACUUUUAAGUGAAAAGGCUUAAAUAAAUUUAAGUGACGAUAAGACCCUAUAAAACUUUAUAUUAAUAAAUAACCUUAUUUUUUAUAUGUGAAAAAAUACAUUAUUAAUUAAUAUUUCGUUGGGGCGACGAGAAUAGAAUUGUAGCUGUUCACAUUGAUUAGUUAUUUAUGUUUAAAGUUUGUCUUUUUUAUAGAGAUUAUAAGAUUAAGUUACUUUAGGGAUAACAGCGUAAUUUUCUUUCAGAGUUCCUAUCGACAAGAAUAGUUGCGACCUCGAUGUUGAAUUAAAAUAUCUAUUUAGUGUAGCCGCUAUAAGUAGUGAGUCUGUUCGACUUUUAAAAUU
rnacentral:rRNA from 1 species